AGAGAUGGAUUGGUGCCUUCGGGAACUUAGAUACAGGUGCUGCAUGGCUGUCGUCAGCUCGUGUCGUGAGAUGUUGGGUUAAGUCCGCAACGAGCGCAACCCUUUUCCUUAUUGCCAGCGGGUAAUGCCGGGAACUUUAAGGAUACUGCCAGUGACAAACUGGAGGAAGGCGGGGACGACGUCAAGUCAUCAUGGCCCUUACGGCCAGGGCUACACACGUGCUACAAUGGUCGGUACAAAGGGUUGCUACCUCGCGAGAGGAUGCUAAUCUCAAAAAGCCGAUCGUAGUCCGGAUCGCAGUCUGCAACUCGACUGCGUGAAGUCGGAAUCGCUAGUAAUCGCGGAUCAGAAUGCCGCGGUGAAUACGUUCCCGGGCCUUGUACACACCGCCCGUCACACCAUGGGAGUUUGUUGCACCAGAAGUAGGUAGUCUAACCGCAAGGAGGACGCUUACCACGGUGUGGCCGAUGACUGGGGUGAAGUCGUAACAAGGUAGGCGUAGAUGA
rnacentral:rRNA from 1 species